rnacentral:lncRNA from 1 species
GCCUAAUUGCAUGCGGGCUAGGAUUUCGUUGGAAGUAUAUGCGGGAGCUGCGAACGUCAAGGAAGGUCCCAAAGGAAGGACUGGUUGCAAUUGCCCCUAGAUCGGGCCGUAGUUGGGGGCGGUAGCAGGAUUGCUGUGAUGGGAGGUUGUGGCUAUGCCAUGGGUGAAAAUUCCAACCUCGGCCAUGGGGCCAUGAGUUGGAUUUUUGACUUUGGCCAUGAGGCCCAACUGGAGGUUGUCGACCUCGUUUAAAGGAUCAUUCAUCGGCCUGACUGACAGAUCGUGAAUCAGGUUGAUUUGAGAAUCGUUUAUCGAGUUGACCGAGGAUUUGCAAGUUGGUCACCAAGUCGUUGGAUAUUUUCCUGAUCAUUAGUGAAAAAAAUAAUUAGUAGGCAUGAUAAAAGCAUGAUUAUAUGCCAAUUAUAAAAUCACAUGCGCCUUGAUAAAAUAAUUGAAUUAUUAAAUAAUGCAUGUGGCAAUAAUUUUAUAAUAAAACAUUAAUGUUUCACGAAUGGCAACAAACUUUUUGGGUUUUGCAGAUUGGAGGUUGUUGGUUCCGAUGACGCUGGUGGUGUCGCGAAACGAUAUCAGGAUGGAUGUCCAAGAAACUUGGUCACGACUUCCUAUUUUUCUAGAGAUACUUCGUUAGCGAGUUGUCGGCAUCAGGUGGUGGAACUUCGUGCUGGCUUCUACUG